GACAAAUUCUUUUCCACUGAGCCACCAGGGAAGCCCAAGCAGCAUUUAACUUUGGCCCAGGGACAGAACGCCUAGGAGCAGGGAUGGCCCUUGCUUGUCCUGUGUCUUGCUCAGUGGGGGCAGCACCGUGGCCAGCACCUGGAAUGUGGUCUAGAAUGGCUUAAGGGUUCUGAGAGGGCUAUCUCCUGACCUUUUCUAAGGGGGAGGGUAAGCCCUGAGGACAGGACUCCUGGCUUUGUCUGGUUGGGUGCAUGGGCCGGUUCACAUGAGUGGGCGUGUGGGCCUUUGGGUUGAGAAGUACACCGGCCCCUGGGAUUCUGGGCGGUAGCUACCAGCGCUUUGUCUAGAAAGAGGCUCCUGGCUCGCCGCCAGGGGUGGGGGCGCAGGGCGCCUGGGAUCCGCCCCUUGAGCCCCUCCCCGACGCAGCCGCCGCCCACCCGCCGGCCUUGGGCUCCAGCACAUCUGGCGGUCCUCAGCGCAUCUGGGCAGCCGGCGCCGAAGCAUGAACAGCUCGCAGGCUGGCGCCACAGCCCGGGGCGCCUGGCAGAGCUCCUGCUGCAACCAGUCGGGGGUGCCGCCGGAGCCCCCCGAGGGGCCGCGCGCCGUGCAGGCGGCGGUGCUGGGCGUGCUGUCGCUGCUCGUGCUCUGCGGGGUCCUCUUCCUGGGCGCCGGCCUCCUGCUCCGCGCCCAGGGUUUAACAGCGCUGCUGGCCCGAGAGCUGCGCUCGUCCCGGGAGGGCGAGCCCGGCGGCGCCAGCGUCGAUGACGACGACUCCUAGGCGCCCGGCUGCGUUCGGGGGUCGCGGCCUCCCGGCGGUCCGUGGACUCCAUGCCAGACUUUGAGGGAGCGGGCCCCCAGCACCCGACGUCUGCAGCGGGGAGCCUACCGCGAUGCUGGUGCGCUCGCACAGGUGAGAGUGCGCACAGGUGAAAGAGACGCAGCCAUCCCAGGCCCCCGGCUUCUUCUUUCUCCCCUCCUCUCCUUCCGGAAGCCUUUCCCCCCGAGAGGAGAUUCGACUCAGUGCCUGGGAAGCUGGCCCAUGGUGUGUGCUGUGGAGGACCUCAGUGUUCCUGGAGGAAGAGCCUGAGACGUUUGCUGAGAAACUCUGACCCUGGUCAAGGCUGUCAGACUGAAUGGGGAGGGAAAGAAUUCAUAAAAUUGGGAAAUGGGUGUUGUUGUCACGCCAUCUGUCAGGCUCGGCUUGGGAGUGGCAGGGAUGAUGACUGCAGGUUGGUGUGCCAUGGGGUGAGGCCAGGCAUUUGGAUCCCAACAAGCUCCAUUAGCCUGUGCUAUUCUUGAUGGAAAGGCUGGGUCCACACAUGCGUGGUUGGCUUACUCUUCCUCUAAACCCCGAGUCUCACCCUGAGGUGGAAAGGACUGUCAUUCCUUGGCUCCCUCUCCAGCAAGAAUGGGGGCGGCUAUCUAUUACAGAUUCCCAAACCUCGCAUGGUGUGUCUCCCAGAACACUUUCCUUCAGUCCUACCGGCCACACAAGGAACCUUUGAUCCGCAUACAGUACAGAUGACAGCCUGGGAAAAACCUGGACUGUGGUGAGACCUCAACCUGGGAUUCCUGCACACAGCUGCUUCCUCUGACCUGCUCCAUCCAACCUCCUGAAGUGCUCAUGGUAUGGGCCUGGGUGGUCAGCCCCCCAGGAAAGAAUGGGCCUCCUGGCAACUGUUGUGCGUCCUGGGCACUGAAGUGGCCACACCCUCAGGAUGCUCAGUGCUGCAGACGCUGACAGACUCGUGCCUGCUGGGCCUGGUCCCAUCUCUGGUGCUGGGUGGCUGUGGUCUGACAGGCUAGUGACUUGUCCCUGCUGAGGGUGGUAGGCCAGUGUCCCAAAUGUGAAGGUCUUGGGUGCCCCAGCAAUGCCUCAUCACUGCCCCAUCACUUCCUGUGGCUUGUUAUUAAAUAUGCUGGUAAUGUAAAGUUGGCAUAUACAGUCAGUGUUUCCAGCUCCUGGCUCUUGGAAUUAGUGGUAACCCUGGGCCAGUGGUAAAGAACCUGCCAGCCAGUGCAGGAGACAUAAGAGAUGUUCUUGCCUGGAGAAUCCCAUGGACAGAGAAGUCUGGUGGACUCAUACAGUUGCAAAGCGUUGGACAUGACUGAAGCGACUUAGCACGCAGCAUGUUGGGUCCACUCCAGUUUGGACUGUUUCUGGCAGAUCCUGAAAUAGCAACCCCAGCCACAGCCCCUCUCCCUUGGUCUCUUCUCAGCUAGCUUUUCCCUCUCCACACCCAGCUCCACAUCUCCUGGUAGGUAGGAGGCGGGGCAGUGACUCUCCCACCGACACUCUACUGCCUCCCUGUGGUCGGUGUGGGCAAGAUUGCCGGGAGAAAUACCAGUAACCCUAACAGCAAAAUGUGAAGAGGAACUAAAGAGCCUCUUGAUAAGGUGAAAGAGGAGAGUGAAAAAGCUCGCUUAAAACUCAGCUUUCAGAAAACUAAG